UACCAGCUCUCCGAGUGGUAGGGAUGAUUAUUGGGCUUAAAGCGUCCGUAGCCGGCUUAGCAAGUCUCCUGUUAAAUUCAGCGACCUAAUCGUUGAGCCGCGGGAGAUACUACUAGGCUAGGAGGCGGGAGAGGUCGACGGUACUUUCGGGGUAGGGGUGAAAUCCUAUAAUCCCGGGAGGACCACCAGUGGCGAAGGCUGUCGACUAGAACGCGCUCGACGGUGAGGGGCGAAAGCUGGGGUAGCGAACCGGAUUAGAUACCCGGGUAGUCCCAGCUGUAAACGAUGCGAGCUAGGUGUUGGGGUGGCUACGUGCCACUUCAGUGCCGCAGGGAAGCCAUUAAGCACGCCGCCUGGGGAGUACGGCCGCAAGGCUGAAACUUAAAGGAAUUGGCGGGGGAGCACCACAAGGCGUGAAGCUUGCGGUUC
rnacentral:rRNA from 1 species